rnacentral:SRP_RNA from 1 species
GCCGGCAAGGGCAAGCUCUCCAAGGAGUACCGGAAGAUCCUCCUG